UAAUAUCCCAGCGCCAGCGGUAGUAGCGGAAAUCCUUUCGCGAUGCGAAAGAUUGGAGCGGAUAACGCGGUCGUUA
rnacentral:sRNA from 1 species